UCUGACCAGUUCUCUCUUGCCUGAUAGUAUUGUUGCCCUGGGUGGGGCCGCUGGGUUUAUAGAGCUGGAACCCGCCUGGAUUUAACAGCCCCAGCAGCCUUCUGAGACCUGUUCGCAACGCUUGUUCACAGCCCUGCUCUCCAGCUGUGUCAUGGAGAAAGUGACCCAGGGCCUUCUCCUCAUGUUGGUUGGCCUGCCUGCCUUCGAAGCCAAUAACCUGAUUGAUAAAGACAGUCCCUUCUACUAUGAUUGGGAAGGCCUACAGCUGGGCGGGAUGAUCUGCGCAGGGCUCCUAUGCAUCGCUGGAAUCGUUUUUGCCCUGAGUGGCAAAUGCAGAUGCAAGUACAACCAGAAGCAGAGUUCCCAACCUGAAAAAGCUGUUCCACUCAUCAUUCCAGGUGAAACAGGCUCCUGAGUGCUUCCAGGCACUCAGGCAGGGUGCCCACAGAAUUGGAGAGCUAAUAAAUAUUAUACUGCAUGCUGUACCAGUACCUGCUGAGCACAGGACCAGCUGUGUGGCACUCUGGGCACCAGCUCCCAUGCUGUUUUCCUCUCUACUUGGGGGCCUUACUUUCCAUGGCACCCUUUCUCUCCAAGGGUGGGCCCUUAGGCUCCCUUUGGACUGGGAGGCUGUCACAAAGUUUAUCUCAGGAUUAAACUGGUCUACUCCUCC